GAUGAACGCUGGCGGCGUGCCUAAUACAUGCAAGUAGAACGCUGAAGGCGGAGCUUGCUCUUCUGGAUGAGUUGCGAACGGGUGAGUAACGCGUAGGUAACCUGCCUGGUAGCGGGGGAUAACUAUUGGAAACGAUAGCUAAUACCGCAUGACAACAGUUGUUGCAUGAUAACUGUUUAAAAGGGGCAACUGCUCCACUACCAGAUGGACCUGCGUUGUAUUAGCUAGUUGGUGAGGUAUCGGCUCACGAAGGCGAGGAUACAUAGCCGACCUGUGAGGGGGAUCGGCCGCACUGAGACUGAGACACGGCCCAGACUCCUACGGGAGGCAGCAGUAGGGAAUCUGCGGCAAUGGACGGAAGUCUGACCGAGCAACGCCGCGUGAGUGAAGAAGGAUUUCGGAUCGUAAAGCUCUGUUGUAAGAUAAGAACGAGUGUUAGAGUGGAAAGUUCACACUGUGACGGUAUCUGACCAGAAAGGGACGGCUAACUACGUG
rnacentral:rRNA from 1 species